UACGUAGGGCGCAAGCGUUGUCCGGAAUUAUUGGGCGUAAAGAGCUCGUAGGCGGCCAGUUGCGUCUGCUGUGAAAUCCCGGGGCUCAACCCCGGGCGUGCAGUGGAUACGGGCAGGCUAGAGGUAGGUAGGGGAGAAUGGAAUUCCCGGUGUAGCGGUGAAAUGCGCAGAUAUCGGGAGGAACACCGGUGGCGAAGGCGGUUCUCUGGGCCUUACCUGACGCUGAGGAGCGAAAGCGUGGGGAGCGAACAGG
rnacentral:rRNA from 1 species